AGCGAACGCUGGCGGCAGGCCUAACACAUGCAAGUCGAACGAACUCUUCGGAGUUAGUGGCGGACGGGUGAGUAACACGUGGGAACGUGCCUUUAGGUUCGGAAUAACUCAGGGAAACUUGUGCUAAUACCGAAUGUGCCCUUCGGGGGAAAGAUUUAUCGCCUUUAGAGCGGCCCGCGUCUGAUUAGCUAGUUGGUGAGGUAAAGGCUCACCAAGGCGACGAUCAGUAGCUGGUCUGAGAGGAUGAUCAGCCACAUUGGGACUGAGACACGGCCCAAACUCCUGCGGGAGGCAGCAGUGGGGAAUCUUGCGCAAUGGGCGAAAGCCUGACGCAGCCAUGACGCGUGAAUGAUGAAGGUCUUAGGAUUGUAAAAUUCUUUCACCGGGGACGAUAAUGACGGUACCCGGAGAAGAAGCCCCGGCUAACUUCGUG
rnacentral:rRNA from 1 species